CCACCAAUUAAAGUAGAGUCUGCAACAGAAUUUGAGAGUAAUGAAUUAGUACCAGAGCUUAGGAACAGGUUCCACACAGCUAACCGUACAUGUAGCCCAGCUGGCACUAGCUGCUGGACUUAAUGAAGACCUAAUCAGUAAAGCAAAACAAAAUCAGAAUGGGGGAGGGGAAGCCCAAGAGUCUAUACCCUAAGGUCAUCAGAGUCACUGUUUGGGAAUCUAAGAAAAAUCCUCUCUGUUUUCACAAAACCAUGUGUCUGUAGGUUCCCAGCUUCAGAUACGUAGGUAGCUUUUGCAGAAUCCAACAUCAGGUAGCAGCUACCAAGAAAUUCAAAUUUCAGGAUGAAGUUGUUGCAAACAUUCCAAGCAAACCUCACAUUCUAGCUGAAUGGGAGGUGAAGGAAGAGGAAGGGAUGACUGAAAAGAGGGUGAAGGCAAGGAAUAGACCGGGUUAUGAGAUAAGAGGAUGUGUAGGAAGGCAAGCAGUCUGGGCUCUGAAGAACCACAGCAUUGUAAUAACUAUAAAUGCCAGGAAGGAAUGAAUGACACUGUCAUCUGGAAAUGUGGACUCUUUCAGAGUCUCAAAAAGAGCCUGGCCAACAGAAGUGUGACAACCAUGUUGAUCCUGUGUGACUUUGCCUGAUCUGUUUGAUCUCCAAGUACCCCAAGUAUUUGGCCCUUCUACUCAUGACUGGGAAAAAGAAGAGCAUUCAUACUUGGAUGAGAUUGUGUCCUUUACACAAUGACAGGGCACCAACUAUCUUUACCUUGCACCAUUUACAGAGCCACCAUUAUUCAGAGCAUUCUAACAAGACUUGGGCUCCAGUGAGCUGAUAAUACCACAUAUAAGAUUCUCAAAGUCACAUGUUAAAAAAAAAUGAAGAGAAAAAUCUUAUAAACUCAGGAUGGGGAAACAUUUUCUUAAUAAGGAAAAAGUCAGGGCAGAAUUAGAUUUCUCAUUUGUAACUUCAGAAGCUAAAAGGUGAUGGAAAAACUAUUAAAAGAAAAUUAUCUGAUACAAAAAUGUUAUACCCAAUAGAGCUGUCAAUAUCUUACUAGGGCAACAGAAGGAUAUCUGUAGAUGUUGAAGAGUUU
rnacentral:lncRNA from 12 species